rnacentral:rRNA from 1 species
GAUGAACGCUGACAGAAUGCUUAACACAUGCAAGUCAUUCGCGAAGCCGCGCUUGUGCAGUCUAGCCAAGGCGGACGGGUGAGUAACGCGUCAGGAACUUGCCCUGCAGACAGGGAUAACAGACGGAAACGACUGCUAACACUAGGUAUUGUCAGGCUGUCGCACGCCGGGCUGAUGAAAGAAGACGCUUCAGGAGAGCCUUGCGUGCUGUUAGCUAGUGGGUGGGGUAACGGGUCACCUAGGCGGUGAGAGGUAGCCGGCCUGAGUGGGUGAACGGCCACAAGGGGACUGAGAUGCGGCAGUUACUCCUACGGGGGACAGGAGUGGAGAAUAGUGGACAAUGGGGGCGACCGUGAUCCAGCAAUUCUGUGUGCAAGAAGAAGGUUUUCGGAUUGAAAAGUGGUGUCAGCAGGGGAGAAGAAAGUGACGGUACCUGCAGAAGAAGCAACGGCUAAAUACGUG